AGUGAACGCUGGCGGCAGGCCUAACACAUGCAAGUCGAACGGCAGCACAGUAAGUGCUUGCUCUUCCGGGUGGCGAGUGGCGUACGGGUCAGGAAUAUAUCCGAAUCUACUUUUUCGUGGGGGAUAACGUAGGGAAACUUACGCCAAUAUAGCAUAUGACGUACGGGUGAAAGCAUGGGAUCUUCGGACCUUGUGGGGAUGAAUGAGCGGAUGAGGGAUUAGUUAGUUGGCGGGGUAAUGGCCCACCAAGGCGACGGUCCGCAGCCGGUCUGAGAGGAUGGUAGGCCACAUGGGAACGGGGACACGGUCCAUGCUCCUGAGGGACGGAGCAGUGGGGAAUAUUGGACAACGGGCGGGAGCCUGACCCAGCCAUACCGCGUGGGUGACGAAGGCCUUCGGGUUGUAAAGCCCUUUUGUGGGUAAAGAACAGCAGCAGGUUAAUACCCCGCGGGUGUGACGGUACCGAAAGAAUAAGCACCGGCUAACUUCGUG
rnacentral:rRNA from 1 species